rnacentral:rRNA from 1 species
GAUGAACGCUGGCGGCGUGCCUAAUACAUGCAAGUCGAGCGAACAGACGAGGAGCUUGCUCCUCUGACGUUAGCGGCGGACGGGUGAGUAACACGUGGAUAACCUACCUAUAAGACUGGGAUAACUUCGGGAAACCGGAGCUAAUACCGGAUAAUAUAUUGAACCGCAUGGUUCAAUAGUGAAAGACGGUUUUGCUGUCACUUAUAGAUGGAUCCGCGCCGCAUUAGCUAGUUGGUAAGGUAACGGCUUACCAAGGCAACGAUGCGUAGCCGACCUGAGAGGGUGGUCGGCCACACUGGAACGGAGACAGGGUCCAGACUCCUACGGGAGGCAGCAGUAGGGAAUCUUACGCAAUGGGGGAGAGCCUGACGGAGCAACGCCGCGGGAGUGAUGAAGGUCUUCGGAUCGGAAAGCUCUGUUAUUAGGGAAGAACAAAUGUGUAAGUAACCGUGCACGUCUUGACGGUACCGAAUCAGAAAGCCACGGCUAACUACGUG